rnacentral:rRNA from 1 species
GACGAACGCUGGCGGCGUGCCUAAUACAUGCAAGUAGAACGCUGAAGGAGGAGCUUGCUUCUCUGGAUGAGUUGCGAACGGGUGAGUAACGCGUAGUUAACCUGCCUGGUAGCGGGGGAUAACUAUUGGAAACGAUAGCUAAUACCGCAUAAUAGUAGAUGUCGCAUGACAUUUGCUUAAAAUGUGCAAUUGCAUCACUAUCAGAUGGACCUGCGUUGUAUUAGCUAGUUGGUGAGGUAACGGCUCACCAAGGCAACGAUACAUAGCCGACCUGAGAGGGUGAUCGGCAACACUGGGACUGAGACACGGCCCAGACUACUACGGGAGGCAGCAGUAGGGAAUCUUCGGCAAUGGACGGAAGUCUGAACGAGCAACGCCGCGUGAGUGAAGAAGGUUUUCGGAUCGUAAAGCUCUGUUGUAAGAGAAGAACGAGUGUGAGAGUGGAAAGUUCACACUGUGACGGUAUCUUACCAGAAAGGGACGGCUAACUACGUG